rnacentral:rRNA from 1 species
AACGAACGCUGGCGGCAGGGUUUAGGCAUGCAAGUCGCACGGGAAAGCCGCAAGGUGAGUACAGUGGCGUAAGGGUGAGUAAUAGAUAGCUGACCUACCCACAGGACGCGGAUAAUUCCUCGAAAGGGGUUGUAAUACGCGAUGAGACCACGGUGCUUCCGGGCAUUGUGAUCAAAGGCUGGGGAUCCUUCGGGACCUGGCGGCCUGUGGAGGGGGCGAUCUCUGAUUAGCUAGUUGGCGGGGUAACGGCCCACCAAGGCGAUGAUCAGUAGCCGGGCUGAGAGGCUGUCCGGCCACACGGGCACUGAGACACUGGCCCGACUCCUACGGGAGGCUGCAGUCGCGAAUUUUUCUCAAUGGCGCAAGUACUGAAGAAGCCAUGCCGCGUGCGGGACGAAGG